rnacentral:rRNA from 1 species
AUAGAUGGAAACAUUUAUCUUAAUGACUUUGAAAAAAUUAGAGUGUUCAAAGCAUGAUUCACAUUUGAAUAAUACAGCAUGGGAUAAUAUAAUAUGACAUUAGUUAAAAUUUGUUGGUUUCUUUGGCUAAUGUAAUGAUUAAAAGGGACAGUUGGAGUAAUUUAUAUUGGUUGGGGAGGGGUGAAAUCCUAUGAUCCUUCCAAGAUAAACUAGUGCGAAAGCAUUUUACUAGGAUGUUUUCAUUAAUCAAGAACGAAAGUUGGGGAUCGAAGAUGAUCAGAUACCGUCGUAGUCUCAACCAUAAACUAUGUCGACUAAGGAUGAUAAAAUAUUAAAUGAAUGAUUUUUGUCGCACUUUAAAAGAAAUUAAAGUAUUCAGACUCCGGGGGGAGUAUGGUCGCAAGGCUGAAACUUAAAGGAAUUGACGGAAGGG